rnacentral:lncRNA from 1 species
AGAUAAGCUGUGAAGCUAACAUCCAUGAUUGCAUUCAUUGUCUGAUCAUGGAGAAACAUUAGAGUUGGACAGUUGCCAUGGAGCCAGUUAACAACUGUAGCUCUGAUAAUGCUCUUGCAUGUUUUUGUUCCUAGUACUCAAAAUGCCCAGCUUACUUGAUUUCAAGGAGACUCCAUUUGGAGGAACUUAUCAGAGAUUUAAAUGUAGAAAUAUUUCCAAUCCCAUGACAUGCCGUUCGUCUUCUUAAACUUAGAUGUCACUCUCUGUGUGUAGACAUUGUGUGCUCGCUUUUACCCAAGCCUUGCAACUGCCUGUCUAAAGAUUGACUUGGAAACGAGAGCCUGGAGCUGAGCGUAGAGUGGAAACCUCUUGUGAUAAACUGUACAGUGGUGGGUUCUGUGGUGAGCUCGGUGAAUAUGUGUGACUUCUUCUUUUAAAGGGAGAGAUGACCUAGAGAGCUUCCAGCUUGAGAUAAGUGGGUUUUUAAAAGAGAUGGCCUGUCCAUACUCGGUACUCGUCUCAGGAGACAUUAAAGAGCGCCUCACAAAGAAGGAUGACUGCUUGAAACUUCUGUUGUUUUUAAGUACAGAACUUCAAGCUUUACAAAUAUUACAGAAGAAAAAACAUAAAAAUUCUCAGUU